ACUGCAGAAACAGGUGGUGAAUGCUCUAACACUGCUGCUGGAGCCGUGCACAUCAUCAACAACUGUGAUCUGGUUUUCCUCCCUGGCAGUCAGCUGGGUGCUGCCCUGCCCCGUGGUGCCUGGGGAUGGCCAGCAGCCACCACAAACCCCAGAGUUCCAGUGCAGCCCCUGGCUGCAAACAGUGUGUGGGCUGAAGCCUGGAAUGGGAGAGAUCCAUGUCCCUGACCCUCCUGGUGGCACUGAGGGACUGCUGCAGCUCUUCUGCUCUGUCACCUCUGUGUGCUGGGAUAACCUCACAGUAGCUCUGACAGUGUUUCAUGCUCUGGUGUACCUGUCCCAAUUAUAAUGGAAAACUGGGGCAAGGAGGGUUUGUCUAGUCAUGAGUAAACCUUUACUAAGAUUUUUAUUGUCUUUUAAAUCAGUAACAAUGGAAACAUGCUAGGGCUCCAUUAAAUAUCAAAUUACUGAGGUAACAUUUUGUAUCUGUUCAUUUGAGGAUGAAGGACAGAAGGCCAGGAAGACCAAACCAGAGGAGGCCAGGUCACAAGACUGCAGCAGUCAUCCCAUUUCCAUCAACCUCAGGUGACAUCUCAGGUCUCCAGCAAUGUCCUCGAGCAGGUCACCAGCUUUGCCUCAGGACCAUCAUACCACCUGCCCUUGGCUCACCACAUCCAGCCCAUCCUGGAUCUCCAGGAGCCAGCACUGAGCGUCAGGGGCUUAGAGACCUUGCAGUACAGGUGAGCAGGGUUCAUUUUAAGGAGUCAUGUCAGGGCAAAGCUGCAGAACAUUUUCUAUGAAGCCAGAAAAACCCCAAGGUCUGGACUGCAAAUUCCCCAGAUUUGAUGCCAUGUGCUUGUGUCUGUUUCAGUUUCCUGUGCCCUGAAACACAGUGCUGGGCACUUCCCCUUUCUGUUGUACUGUGAGAGUUGUGGAGAAUCAAUGCAUGCAUUUUAUUUUUAAAUCUCCCAAAAUUAUUAAAAUUCUAGAUUAUUUUAGCACAAAGUACGCUAGGAUGGGCUUUGCUGUUUUGGACCAAACCAAAAUAUUACUCAGUAACACAUCUGAUUGCCUGAAAUACCGUGGAUUUCUGAGGAGUAGCUCUGAGGGAUGAUUUUUCUACUUUAACCAUUUAUUUAGCUCCCUCUUCUCCUUGCUCUCUAGUGAAUUGCAUUUUUGCUUGCCACACAGUUUAUCCUGUGAAUCCCUCUGAGGGUUGCAGAACAUUUUAGCUUACCUGUACGACCUGUACGUGUCCUGCAGCUGCCUGAGGAGCGCGUUUGGAGACUGCUCAGGUCACGGGGUCACAACCCCUGGAGGGGAUGGCAGUGUUGGGAAGUGAAGUUCUGUGCCCUGCAGGAACACCUGAUGUCCCAGGAAGCUGCUGGGGAGGAGGAUGUUGGCUCUACCCAGCUGCUCACAAUUUCAGUCCUAGAAAUGUCCAAGAAAUGGUUUGGAAAUUCAAGACUUUGUUUGCAGGAAAACUUGAACAAACUAGGUGCAUCAGCCUUAUUAUCUGGCAGAUGUUGCUUAUCCAAAAUGAGUUUGAAAAUGUGCAUGGAGUGCUGACCCAGCAGGAUUUGGAAAAUGUGCAUGCAGUGCUGACCCAGCAGGAUUUUGAAGAUGUGCAUGCAGUGCUAACCCAGCAGGAGUUUGAAGAUGUGCAUGCAGUGCUAACCCAGCAGGAGUUUGAAGAUGUGCAUGCAGUGCUGACCCAGCAGGAUUCUGAAGAUGUGCAUGCAGUGCUGACCCAGCAGGAUUUUGAAGAUGUGCAUGCAGUGCUGACCCAGCAGGAGUUUGAAGAUGUGCAUGCAGUGCUGACCCAGCAGGAGUUUGUCAUGCCCCAGUUCCCUGCAGCUGCACCUGCAGGCAGUUCUGGUUUGGGUCCCAGCAGUGUGUUCCCAGGUGCAGCAGACGAUCUACAGCCACACUCCAGCUCCAGCCUGCAGUGGGACCCCGAGCUCGUGCAGGGUUUCCUGGAGAGCCCUCAGCUCCCAGCCUGAACUCCUCGAUGUGGGCAGGGUCCUGGGUGCCAGGGCAGCCCUGCUGGGCGUGUGCAGGGGCAGCAGCGCUGCGGCAGAACUCAGACCAGUGGACUCUGUGACAGUCCUGGUUGGAGCUGCAGCUCCUGAUCAAACAGUGCAAGAAGGACCUUCGUGUCCCUGCUGAGCCAGCAGCCCUUGCUGCCCCUGGGACUCACUUGCCUUCAGGGCCAGGAUGAGCCAAGGGAAGGGCUCCUUCACCCCUGCACAAUCAAGUUCCUCAGAAUUCAGCUGUUUCUGGGAAAAACAGUGAUGCGCUGAAGUUUCAUUGCUACUAUCCAUGCUGGAAACUUUCCAGACAAUAAUUAGUGAAGCUGUUGUAGAGCUGGUCUGCAGGACUUUGGUCCUGUCCCAGGGAAGCUGCCACACCGUUCAAAGCCCUCACUGUGACUGCAGACUGAAUGCUGUGAUGUGCCCAGGCACUCAGGUGCUUGUGGCUGCCCGUGAUUGAAGCCAUUGCAGGGCUGAGCCCAGCCUGGCUGCAGCCCGUGUUCCCCACCACUCCUGCUGUGUUUCUGGCUCAGAUGACGUGGACGUAGGUGGCUGCAGUGUCGGUGCCCAGGGGGUUCCUCGCUGUGCACCUGUACGUGCCAGAGCUGGAGGGUCGGGGGUUCUGCAGGAGCAGAGUCCCCGUGGGGUGGAGCAGCUCGCCCCCAGAGCCCCGGCCCUGGUGAGCUGUGGAGAGUACGGAGUGGUCAGGGGCUGCCACAAUGACCGUGACAUGGAUCUUCAUCUCGUCCCUCCCCAGAGUGUUUUGGGCGUAGCACGUGUAGUCUCCUCCCUCUGCCACUCCAGCUUUGUUGAGGCCCCAGGAUAUCGCUGGCGUGGGCGACCCCGAGGCCUUGCAGUCCACUCUGAAAUCCUUCCCGUACGGCACCAGCUUCUUGAACUGCUGCUUGUGGUCAAUCUUGGCUGGUUUCAUUGCGAUGCUGACUUUCAUCAGUAUCAGAUCAUCCCCGAUGCUGUUUCUGGCGACGCACAGGUGCUGUGCCCGUGCCUCCUGCCCACGCAGCGUGUCCUGCCCUGAUGUCACUGCCAGUUUUGGUGUUGUGUGGAUGUGAGUGGUGCUGGCUCUGCUGGGAACACCCUGAGCUGGGGCUGUGUCUCCUAAGGUGGAGCAAGGCUGCCCAGCGCUGUGGAUCAGCUCUCCUGCCUGAGGGAACAAACUGUCUCCUGUGUCCCCUGAAGCGCCGGCCGGCUCUGUCUGCGUAGGGCCAGUGAGGCAUUUUCCUGUGGCUGCUCCUCUGCCUCUGGCUCUGUGCGCCCUGGCUGCUGGCUGCUGGUGCAGCAGGCUCCCCGAGAGCUCUCAGGGUGGCUGCAGUGCCUGAGGGAUGUCUCUGUGCUGCAGCAGAGCGCAGCAGCUCAUUGCCAGAGCCUUCUUCCCAGUCUCCCAGAGCUCCAUGCUUUUCCUUCAGAGCAGUUUCAUCCUGUCCCACCAGCACUUGGAAAACCAAAAGAUCAACACCGUACCGGUUGGCCGCCACGCAUCGGAAGUAGCCCACGUCUCUCUGCGUCACCCCUUGUAUUCUCAAGGUGCCAUUGGCAAAAAUGUGUUUGUUUCCAGCAGACUGACGGAGAAUUGUGUGCUCAGGUAGCACCCAGGUAACGGCAGGGUCUGGGGCAGCCGUGGCUGUGCAGGGGAGGUGCAGCGUGCUGCCGAGAGCAGCCGGCAGCUGGGCUCCAUUGACACCGUUGUGCUCCACGUGGGGAUCCACCACUGUGAUUCGGAAUGUGAGCACGUCAGCGUCCUGGUGGUUGGUGCUGGUGCAGUGAUAGAGCCCCGAGUCGAACACGUCAGCUGUCCGCAGCGUCAGCACCCCGCUCCUGAGGACCAGGAUCCUCCCAUCCUCGCUGAUGUGGGGGGCUCGCACCUUGCUGCCGUCGGCCAACACCCACUCCACGGCAGGAGCUGGCUGCCCGGCUGCCUGGCACCCCAGCUCCACGGUGCCCCCCACCAGCACGGUGUGCUCCCUUUGGGUGCUGUUGUCCCUGGCAAUGAUGGCCCAGCCGUGCCUCCCCUGGUCCCUGUCGUGGCUGGGCAGAGCCACCCGGGCCUGGGUGGUGUAGCGGAGGUGCAGCGUGCUGAGCGUGGUGGCUGUCCUGUCCAGCUGCAGGGACACCUGGCUCUGCAUCAGCCACGCCGGCUCAGCUCGCAGCUCAGCCUCGAUCCUGGUGAAGAGCUCGUCGUUCUCACUGUACGCCUGCCUGUAGCUGUAGCUGACAAAAGGCUCGUCAGCUGCCCGCACCGUUUGCUCCAGCUUCAAAGGAGAGCUGCUGUACAGUGCCAGGAUGCUCCACAGCUGCUGGAUGUGCCCAUGAUCGAUACCACACACCAGGAAUGCUGAGAGCGAGGCUUUGAGCACUCUGCUGGGGCCAUCUUGGUCAAAAGAGAUGGGAGACAUUUCUUUAGGUCUCUGGACAUUGCAAACCAAGUUGCCUCGAUUUCCUGCCUGGUCAGUCAUAUUCAAAACCACAGAUCCUAUCGGAGCCAUCAAGUCCUUGGGAGACACAAAACUGAAAUCCCCAUCGUCUGGCACUGAGAGGUUUCUGGAUUUCAGGGAGUCUUGGAUGACUGGCUUCGUGCAGGUGAAAGAUGCAGAAGGAAGAUCCACUAAACUUUUCCCAUUAUGGUUUUUGGGACUAGCACAGACCGGGCAUUGCUGGACACCAGAACUUCUCUCUUUUCUGCACUUUAUAACAUCUGAAGGGAAGAAAACCUCAGUAAGUUUCUGUGAUACAAGUUUUAAUGUUAAAAAUGACAUAUAGCUACUAACAAGUGGUUCUUUUGAAUGAAAUAAAACCAAAGCUUGAAGUGACAUGUGAAGGCAGCAGCAGAGAAAGUCCCAGAGUCCCUUGAGUUCCUGAAUUUCUUUUUAAAGAAUCAAGUGCAAUGUGGGCCUUGCUCUUGCCAGUUCCACAAAAGUUAGCUUGCUCCCUGUGGAUUCUCCCAGUGCACAGAAGCUUUGGACUGGCCAAGAAAAAUUAUCCAUUAAGGAAAGCUGCACUUGGGAAUGGCCACUAGAUUCAUUUAAUCUGGGAAACACAGUGGUGUUUAGCUCUUUAUCCUGGUUAAACACACCUACACAAAUCCUCUCUUCCAGUCUUUUCUGGGAGAAUAAACAGAUGAAUAAAGGACAAUUACCUGUAUCAGGAAGAGUAAGAUGCUACAACAGGAUUGAAGAGCAUGAACAAAGCCUUCAGCUCACCUGGCCUCUCCUGUGCCCACCCUGCAAACCCCUGCAGGCUGCAGUCGCAGGACCAGGGGUUUCCGUGGAGAGAGAGUGUUUUGACUGCAGUUGCCUGCUGAGGUACAGCUGAGAGAAAUCUACCAAAGUGUUUGUCAUGUUCUGCACCCUGUACCUGAGUGCCUGCCUGGGAAGGAAAGACAUUUCCCACCAGGAUACUGGAUUUUGAAGGCUGUUGACUUUCACAUGAAAAAGGCCAGCAAAGUCCGUGGGGCUGAGUUUCCUCAGGCUGUUGUAGCUGUACAGGAUGGGUUCAGUCAGCCCCAACUCACGGCUUUUACAUCCAACCAACCCAAAACAAGAGAACCACUCUUUGGGAACAGCUCAAGACACAGCUGGAUGGAUCAAAGGUUAUGUGUGUCAAAAGGGACACAGAUCAGACCAAUACUGCUGAUGGGUCUCAUCAUUCGAUUUAAGAGAGGGACAUUUGCUGGAAACUGCAUGAAGGGGCCAGACGAGCCUGGGUGUGAUCCCUGCUCCUUUAACCACACAGAGAACGGAGCCACCGUGGAGGCUGCCAUGGCCAGACAAGUGAAAUUUCCUGGAAGUCAGCAGACCACUUUCUGAGCCCUGGACUAUUCUUCCCAGAGAGAAAUCUAUUUCAGCCCUCUUCCAGGGUCCGUGCUACAGACACAACACAUUCAGCCUCUUGCUGGGCAAAUCCUCGCAAUGCCUGGUGGGUGGCUGGAUGCCUUGGGAAGGAUGACAUGGCCCCCCGAGCACCAUGCUGGGGAUUUCACAAGAACACACUCAGGUGGCACAUGGUUCAGCUCUCAGCCUUCUGUGAUUUUCCUGCUCUGCUCCUCCAAAGGGUGCUCCACCCCACAGGCUGCUCAGCCGGAGAGCACGAGGCUGCGCCGAUUUGCUGCUGGUAGAACUUUGGCCAAAGGAAUCACCUUCAUUUUAAUCUGAAAAAGGUAAAACCGCUGUGUCCCAGGCCCUGCUCGAGUUUCUGCCUUGCAGAGCGGCAGCUCAGUGCCCCGGGACACCCGACACGGCUGCCUGCACCUGGGUGUCCCCGCGCGGCCACCUCCCGCUCCCGUCCCGCUCCCGUCCGCCGCCUGUCCCGGGGC